GACGAACGCUGGCGGCGUGCCUCAUACAUGCCAGUCGAACGAGAAGAUGACUUCGGUCCGCGGCUAGUGGCGGACGGGUGAGUAAUAUGUAGGAAAUCUGCAUUUAGGAGGGGGACAACAGAGGGAAACUUAUGCUAAUACUCCAUAUGAGCGUAGCUGAGAUGCUAUUCUUUAAAACUCCGGAGUCUAUAGAUGUGACGGCAUCUGAUUAGCUAGUUGUUGGUGUAAUGGAGUACUAAGGGGACGAUCAGUAACAGGGUUAAGAGGAUGAUCAGCCACAAUGGAAGGGAGGCACGGGCAAGACAUCUACGGGAGGCGGCAGUAGGUAAUUGUGCGCAAGGGGCGAAAGCCUGACGCAGCAACGCCGCGUGAACGAUUAAUCUCUGCGAGGAGUAAAGUUCUAUGAGUGUAGACGAAACUUGACGGUACCCACAGAGGAAGCACCGGCUAACUCCGUG
rnacentral:rRNA from 1 species